rnacentral:lncRNA from 1 species
AAUAAUGCAAUAAAACCCAGCUUCUAAGGCACACAAAGGCUUUUGGAAAGCAAGAGAUAAAAGGGACUUUGUUCUGCUCCCGCUGGGAACAGUAUAGAUCUACAGGUGUUCCCACAGACACCGGUCCCUUGGUGGAGGCUGUUGCUGGUCUCUGCUCCCCACAUCUUGCUGCUGCCUGGGAGCCAUGGAAGGCUUAGAAUGGAAACAGCCCGCAGAAGGCAUGCUUUAAGAAGCACACAAUGACAAGAGCAGGCUCGAGAGCCAGGGUUUCUACUGUUGGGAUGAAACAGAACUCAAAUGAUGUGCUGACAGAGAGUGACUCUGGUACUCAGCCCUACCUGUGACAUCUCUACCGACAUCUCCCUCCUCUCUACGCAACUCCAAGGCUCACAGAACAUUCCAGAAGGGGGUUGAGAGUGGGGAGAAUGUAAAAGCUGUGGGAUGGAGAGCAAAGCCGUGAAAUGCUUUCUCUGGAUGUGACUUGGCCACCAUACUCAUGAACUAAUAGCAAUUGAGGUUAAGCCAGCCAAAGUUACAGAAUGGACAGGGAAGAGAAAUCCCUGACCCCUAACAGAGAAGCUAUUGGGAGUUAAUAGCUGGUAGGGAAGAGAGGUAAUUUCUCUGUGAGUGUAGCCUCUGGUAGGUUGCCCAUUGUGAUGGUUAUAUGUAUACAUGUGGGGAUGUAUAUGCUCAGCCCAGGGAGUGGCACUAUUAGAAGCUGUGGCCCAUUUGGAGUAGAUGUGUCAGUGUGGGUGUGGGUUAUAAGACCCUCAUCUUAGCUACCUGGAAACCAGUCUUCUGCUAGCAGCCUUCAGAUGAAGAUGUAGAACUCUCAGCUCCUCCAGGACCAUGCCUGCCUGGAUGCUGCCAUGUUCCGGCUUUGAUAAUAUUGGACUGAGCCUCUGCAUCUGUAAGCCAACCCCA